UACGAAGGGGGCUAGCGUUGUUCGGAAUCACUGGGCGUAAAGGGCGCGUAGGCGGCCUGCUAAGUCGAACGUGAAAUCCCUGGGCUCAACCCAGGAACUGCGUCCGAUACUGGUUGGCUUGAAUCCGGGAGAGGGAUGUGGAAUUCCAGGUGUAGCGGUGAAAUGCGUAGAUAUCUGGAGGAACACCGGUGGCGAAGGCGACUACCUGGACCAGCACUGACACUGAGGCACGGAAAGCGAUGGGGAGCAAACAGGG
rnacentral:rRNA from 1 species